UGAUUUCUGUCUAUAAUGUUGGU
rnacentral:snRNA from 1 species